rnacentral:rRNA from 1 species
GAUGAACGCUAGCGGGAGGCCUAAUACAUGCAAGUCGAACGGCAGCAAUUCGGUUGGCGAGUGGCGCACGGGUGAGUAACGCGUACACUACCUACCUCGUACUGGGGAAUAGCCCUGGGAAACUGGGAGUAAUACCCCAUAAUAUCGCAAGAUUAAAGUUCCGGCGGUACGAGAUGGGUGUGCGUCUGAUUAGCUAGUUGGUGAGGUAACGGCUCACCAAGGCGACGAUCAGUAGGGGGCGUGAGAGCGUGGCCCCCCACACGGGUACUGAGACACGGACCCGACUCCUACGGGAGGCAGCAGUAAGGAAUAUUGGGCAAUGGAGGCAACUCUGACCCAGCCAUCCCGCGUGCAGGAUGACGGCCCUAUGGGUUGUAAACUGCUUUUAUAUGAGAAGAAAGGUUGUCAUUUAUGAUGAUUUGACGGUAUCAUACGAAUAAGCACCGGCUAACUCCG